GACGAAGGAUGCAAGCGUUAUCCGGAUUCAUUGGGUUUAAAGGGAGCGUAGGUGGCCUUAUAAGUCAGUGGUGAAAUCUCUGGGCUUAACCCAGAAAUUGCCAUUGAUACUGUAGGGCUUGAGUAUAGUUGCCGUUGGCGGAAUAUGACAUGUAGUGGUGAAAUACAUAGAGAUGUCAUAGAACACCGAUUGCGGAGGCAGCUGACGAAACUAUAACUGACACUGAGGCUCGAAAGUGCGGGGAUCAAACAGG
rnacentral:rRNA from 1 species